GCGCCCGUAGCUCAGCUGGAUAGAGCAUCAGCUUGCGGAGCUGGGGGUCGCAGGUUCGAAUCCUGCCGGGCGUACCA
rnacentral:tRNA from 1 species